UCUUCUUCACUCUACUCUCUCAUAGUCUCAUUUUUGUUCAGUUUGUUUCAAUUUUUUUGGUUUCUUUCUGCCUAUCACUUCUGAAUUCUUCUGAAAGUUUGUCCAUUUUUCCUUCAAUUUUGGUUUUUCAACUUUUUUGUAUAGUUUUUCGCCAGAUCUUUUAUAUACAAGUCUGUAAGUCUAUCUGAUUCGCAGUGACGGAGCCAGGAUCUCUACGAAGGGGUUCAAAAAAAAAUUUUGUGGCUAGUGAGAAUUGAACCUAUAACCUUAUAAAAGUUUUGAACCUCUUGACCACUAAACUACACUUCAAGGUUGUGUCAAGGUGUUCAAAACUUAAUAUAUAGAGAUAAAAACCAGAUUUUGCCUUAUAUGCAUAGUGAAAUUUUUCGAAGGGGGUUCGAUUGACCCCUUGCGCCCCCUAAAUCCGCCCCUGCUGAUCCGCACAUGCAUGGUUGAAAAUAGUUGACUGGUGCAUGUAACUGUAUUAUUUUGGAUUACUGAUUAUCGAUGUCUGUUUUACUUUUGCUUCUAAUAAAUUAUUGAAAAUCAAGUAUAUGAAAAUCUGUAAUUUUGAACUUGCUGUUGAAAGAUUGGGUCUUUACAAAAAAAAUUAGUUAUUGACAGUAUCGCUUAUAUUUAUAGACAUACUUUCAUGGUGUUAUUUUUUUUGUAAUUAUUAUAUACUACAGUUUGAGAAAAUUUCCAUUUUAAUUGUUUUUUCUCUUCUUCUACUUUAUUCUUUUUUUUCAUUCUACACAAUGUGAUGGCAUUCUAAACUAUAAAGACCAAUGAACCAAAGCUGUUCGGUGAUAUGCCUGAAACAACUUAACUAUUUGACUUGGAAAGAAUGUAAACUAUACUACAAGCUGCAGACAUGCUUUCGCAUGUAAGGUAAUACCCUCAUUCUUACCUUCUUUGUUUCCAAAAGCCAUAUUCUAUCUUACUUAUUCAAUAAAUCAUGUAGCAAAAAAAGGAUGUAGGCUUAGAGAGUUGCAUUAUGGAAUGCUAUAUGUGAUUGUUUUUUCUCUGAAAUUCAUAUGAUGUGCUUUAUAGUCCAACAAAGCAAGUAAAAUUUUAUUGUAUAAGUGAAGAUCUGCGAAAUUGGAUGUAGCUAUGUACAACAUAGAGGCUAGGUGUGCUACCUCUUAGGACUUUGUAUUCUCAAGUGGCCAUUACUCUUUCAAGAUAAAGCAUCCAUACAUGGUAAGAUUUGAAGUUUUAAAGUUUGAUUGCUUUAACAGCUUACUGCCAUGUUUAUUAAUGAGAUAAAUUGGUAAUUGGUUAUGCUGUAUACUGCAAAAGGACUCUGGGACAUUAGAAUUGGUGUAAAUUAAAAAAUGGAAUGGUUGUUGCUCAGUAUUGACUUAAAGCCUUAAGUUUGUUCUCGAUAUGAGCCUACAGAAUGCUGCCAGAUAACAAAGUAGCACAUUUGGAGUGCCGAAAAUUGUUUCCAUUGCUUUUGUGGAUUUGCUUAUUCUUGGCAAAUUUCACCUAGCUAUCAAUAAAAGCAUCUGUACAGGAAGAAUUAAUAGUUUUUUCUAUUAAGACAAGCGUUAAUUUCCUUUGGAUAACUGAUAAUGUUUAAGAACUUACGAAGAAUUGGCAUAUCCCUUUGGUUUAUUAGAGGGCCAAAACAUAGCAUUUUUUCUAAGAUCUUAAAUUAGUUGAUGGAUGAACAAAGGUCUUUCUGGCUCAUGUCUGUUGAAUAUGCUUGAUACAGCUGAUAUGAAAUAUGAUAAUUUGGCUCCAAGUUGAUCAUUUUAGAGGUAACUUAUAGACCAUAUUUUCUUAUCUUAAUACUUUCCGCAUGACUUCACGCAAUGUUAAAUUAGCUGUCAUAUUUUUAUUGGUGUGAAAGUGUUUCUUUAUUUUUUGAGAAAUAAUGUUGAUGUUAAACAAAUUUAGAAGUGAACAACAACCUAUAAACGGGGCUACUCACUGAGGCAUCUCUAUACUGAAAUAGCAAGAAGAUUAUAAUUUUUGCAUAAGAUGACUAAGCCUCCUAUAUAUAAUGGGGUUCUCAAUUUUGCUGUUAUACUCCUCAUAGAGAACUAUGAAUCCAACAUGGUUGGGUUGUUCACAAAAAAGUGUGACACUGAUACUCUAUAUAAUUUUUUUAAUGCAUCAUCUGGUCUGUUGAUUUUAUAUCUUGAAAUUCUUUUACGCCUAAAAUAAUCAAGAAGCUGGAGAUUUCAUCUUUAUGCAAGAACUCGAAGGCAAGGUUCUUUUGCAUCUGCUUGAUGCCCUUAAUGAAUUUUAUUACUUCAAAAAAAUAAAAAAGGACUUCAAACAAGGAAAUAUAUUUUGGAUGAACUCGACAACACUGUCAGAAAAUAUCAAAUAUGUAUAAUACCAAUUUCAGUUUCCUCCAUUCUAUGUUUUAGCUCAGAUCUUUUUCUGAUAUGAAACAUACUUGCAUAUAGCUUCGGGGUUUUGAAAUGUGAUGCACAAUUCAUAUUGAGUCAAAAUCUCUAUGACAUUGCGAGAGAUUUGAUCAUGCCUGCGCUCAAACUGGCAUAGCUGCUUGACCAUUAUAAGGUAUUUUAAGUCAAAAAUAUUUCCUUUUUUGGUAACAAUGAUUGUUAUACUUUCUGUCUUUACUAUUUAAUAGCAUCUACUAUCUUAUAAUUUUCAAGUCAAAGAGGUAAGAACCAAAUCGGAAGGACACCUUUAAAAAGUUAGCUUUCUGUACUAGAACUUGUGAGAUUGACAAAGAGAACAUUGGUUUUGAGAAUUUAUUGAUGGGGUAAGUGAUAGAGAAGAAAAAUUAGAAGGAAGAUAAUGAUUUUUCUACAACUGAGUGCUCUUCUGUGGAAGAAGGUGAACACACUGCCAUUAUUUUAUCUCAUUAUUAUAGAAGCAUUGUCACACUGAUAAUGUAUAAAAGUAAUUACAAUUAACAUGUGUGUUCACUGAACUUAGACUGACAUUUUCUAUUACUCUUCUAUAAGCCGAGUUACUGAGUAUUAUAUUUCAUGGUUUAGCAACUGUUGUAUUAGGACUUGGUUGACAUGUUUCAUAAAUUGCUAAUAAAAUAUAUUGGACGUUUUCUUGGAUGAUUUUCUAACUCUCCAUCCCCUUCAAAACACUAUGAUGUAUAUACACAGGGGUGGAUUAGGGGGGCGAAAGGAUGUUCACCCGAAUCCCCUUCGUCGAAAAAUUACAUUGUAUAUAUGAGUCAAAAUCUAUUUUUUACCUCUAUAUAUUAUGUUUUGAAUCCUCUUGCCCAAAAGUGUAUAGCUUAGUGAUCAAGGGGGUUCAAAACCUUUGUAAGGUCAUUGGUUCCAUUCCCACUAGCUACAACCAUUUUAACUUUUUUCUUUUUUGAACUCCUUUAGCAUUAAUCCUGCCACCGCCACUGCCACUGUAUAUACAUUGAUGGGUAUAUUUCUAAACCUUCCUUUGUCUCUCUUUAAAGGGUACAACAUAUUGGUCCAUUAGUCGUACGAGGGACUACAGAUAAAUCUAUGAAACAGAGAUUUAUAGAUAAAUUGUGAUUACGGCUCUGAAAUUAAAGUGUGAUCCUCUGCUUAUCCACGUUACCAAGAGAAAUGUUUUCCAUUUAUGGCUUAUUUGUUGCAUUUUAGUAUUCAAUAAUUUUGUAUCAAUGCUUCCAUGUUAAUGUACUCUACAUGUUUCAUGAAUUUAAAGCUUAAUUUUGAUGGGUAGAGCCUUUUUGACGAAACCUUUUCCUUCAGAAUACUAACUAGAAGUUCAAUUUGUGUAGAACCACUCCAUCCUAAUAUUUGUUGGUGAAGAUGACAUAUUUAUGAACGUGUAUUUGCAUGAAACAAACAAAGAAUUAUAACUAUGCAAGUUUUCUUAAGUUCAUUAUUGCAACUAUCAAUAUGUUGCUGACACUCCUUUCUGCCAUUGACUUUCUCCGAAUUGGUGCUUCCAGUACUAAAAAAAUAGUGCUAGUAAUUUUUGCUAUAUUUUAGAGUAGCUCUUCUUUCGAUUAAACAUGGAACAAAUAUGGAUGCUGAGGACAAGCAAGGGUGCAGUUGAACAAGCUUCGGAUGAGCCCAACAUCAAAUCUAAGACGACGUUUUGGAUGUAAAACCAUCUGGUGUCAUUAGCCACUCAAUAUAUUCAAGGCAACUUAUGUAAAUGGUUGCUGUGAGGUGUGCUCAAAUUUGUGAUAUUGGCUGCUCCUGGUGCUUGUUAAGUUAGUACUUGGUAAUUUGUGUUUUUUAGACUGAUAGGUUGGUUAGUGUUGGACUUAUCUUUGAGAUAAGUGCUAUAAUUUUUCUUUAUGAAGAAGAGUUAAUUAGCUCUUUAGCUUCCAAAUUCAGCUUAGAGUGUGGAUUGGAGUAUUGAUCGAGCAAUUUGAUCAAAACAUUCUUUGAUGGUAUAUUGGUAUAUCUGCAAAGAUGAUCCUUAUUUCCUUUAUA